CACUCUGACCUUACCUCUGUGCACAUGCCCAGUUUUGGCUGAUCUUAGAGGCAAAGCAGAUGGGUCCUCUUUAGCACUUGAAUGAAAGGCCACCUGAGAAUGGCAGGUGCUACAGAGA
rnacentral:rRNA from 1 species